GGGUGGGCAGAGCAGUUACCACAUCUCUUAUCUUCCCCCCUUCCCACUUUCCUCAAAGGCCCGGGCUCUGUAUUCUGAUGAUAAGGUGGCCACUUCUGGAUUUACAGAGCAUUUCUACUUCCUGAGCAGGAGCCCCAUAGCAGAGAAGCCAGGCCUCCGUGCGGGACUCCAGCCCAGCCCACGCCUGCCCUCUGCCUCCUUCCUCCCCAUCUGCUGCUUCCUCAGGCCCUAACCUCAGCCCUGACCCCUUCACAGGUUUCUACUGCCCUGAAGGGACAGGGCUUGACUGGCAGCCCUGCCCCCCAGGCACCUACGGCCCCACACUGGGACUGAGUAGGCUGCCAGAAUGUCAAGCCUGUGACAGGGGCAGGUUCUGCCCCAGGGCCAAUGCUACGGAGGCUGGUGGGCAGUGUUGGGAAGGCUUCUUCUGCUCCAGAGGCUCCACCCGGCCCAACCCCGAGGCCGGCACUGAAGGCCGACUGCUCUCGGUGCCCAGCUGGCCACUACUGCGGCUCUGCAGGCCUCACCAGCCCUUCAGGGCCCUGCAGCUCAGGCUUCUUCUGCCGCCAUGGGGCCCUCAUUCCCAACGGCUCCCUGGGAGAUGGGACCAGUGGCCCUUGCCCUGCAGGUACUUCUCGGGGGCUGGUCUGAGG
rnacentral:lncRNA from 12 species